UCAAGAAACUUCCACAAUGGGCGAAAGCCUGAUGGAGCGACGUCGCGUGAUGGACGAAGUGCUUCGGCACGUAAACAUCUUUUAUGUGGGAUGAAAUUAUUGACAGUACCACAUGAAUAAGGGGCUCCUAACUCUGUGCCAGCAGGAGCGGUAAUACAGAGGCCCCAAGCGUUAUCCGGAAUCACUGGGCGUAAAGGGUGUCGAGGCGGUUGUAUUAGUCGUUCGUAAAAUCUACGAGCUUAACUUGUAGGCGGCGAACGAAACGGUACGACUUGAGGUUUGGAGAGGUGCGUGGAACUCACGGUGUAGGGGUGAAAUCCGUUGAUAUCGUGGGGAACACCAAAGGCGAAGGCAGCGCACUGGCCAAAAUCUGACGCUCACACACGAAAGCUAGGGUAGCGAAGAGGAUUAGAUACCCCCGUAGUCCCUGAGCGGGCUGGGCAAGGCGCAU
rnacentral:rRNA from 1 species